UAUUUUCCUUCUGCGAUUUCAGGACUUAUUUAUUUAUUUAUUUAUUUAUUUAUUUAUUGUACAUUUUUACGGACAUUCGUUUCACUUAAAAAGGGCUUGUGGGUUUAGCCAGCAGAUAGUUGGCCUAUACUGAUAUAUCACAAAAAUAUAAUUAUGCUAUUUUGGAUUGGGGUACCUAAAGUCCCGAUGCCUAAAUAAUUCGCAAGUUGUUGAAUAUACGUAUAAGUUAAUUUAAAAGAUAUCUAUAUGCAUGGAAUGUUUGUUUCGUCUGAAUAACUAAUUAAAUAGGCGUACGAUAAAUGACACCGCCAAGAAAAAUAACAAGGCUUACUUCAGCCAAGUAAACAAGUAAAAAAAAAAAAGUGCAUAACGAAACUGAAAGUGUUCAAGGGCGUACGCCAUUUUACAGGCGGAGGGGAACGAAGAGGGACUAAAAGAAGGAAUAAAACCGAAUAAAAGAACGGAGUCAGCUAAUUUGGGUUAAAACCCACUUGCGGUCUAAACUGGUCUGACGUGUUCCAGUCUCCUGAGAUGGGGGUCCCUGUUGAUGAAAAGAGUCUCUCAGGGGAGCCAGAGACCAAAGAGGAAUCCCUCAGCAAUGAGAGAAACAAGGUCCAGGUAGAAAGAGCAGGGUCAUCUGUACCCAGCUGUCUGUCUAUGAAGAGUGAUCAAUCAAUGAAUCAUCCACUCAUGUUCAGGGGAGAGUUCACUGGUGAUCAAAGGGUCCAGCAGUCACUGGAGUCCACUCGUUUAGAACAGAAGAGUUCAAAGAAAUUAUCUUCCCCAAAAGAGGUGUGAGUUAUGUUUUUUAUAAUUGUUUUUAAGUGUGAAUUUUAAGUGAAAUAUAAUGCCUAAUCAGUGCCUGAUAUGUGCCUAAUAUUGCGUCACAUGAACACAACACAUUUCAAACAUGCUUUAAAUUAUUUUUUGUGGUUUGUUUGGGACCAAGAGGUGUAAACAAUUCCCCAUAUUUUAAAAUUGGAAAUAUUUGGGGAGAAGGGAAUCCUGUGUGAAAACCGGAAGUGAAGCUUGUAGCUGUGCAAAGGAAGAAUUAGUGCUAAUGCUACAUGCUACAUUUAACCCCUCAAAAGACACAACUUAACAUCUAAUCAUGCUCUGGAGUGCUACCUGGUCCUCACUCACAGGAAGUCCAGUUUCCAUCUGCAGGUCCCACACACAGCAGGAGAGGAAGAUUCCUAACAGAGACUUUUAAACAGGAAGCACUAAGCUCACAGUUAGCAUUUACUAAAUGUAUUACGCAGAGCAACUGCAUUAUUCUACUGAACUGCAGGAUUCAUCACACAUAGUGUCUCUACAAAGCCAUCAAUCAGGAGCACAGCCUGCCGUUAGAAUCUGAGCAUUUAGCACUGCUGCAUGUUUGGUGUCUGAAAGUAUCUGUCCCUGUCCUGACUGUCAAACACAAGAGACACACGAGGCAAGGAGCGCCUUUAUUUGAGCUUUUAUUUCAGGUGUGGUGAUACAGCACACCUCUUCAUGAGUUUCACACUGAUACAGCACACCUCUUCAUGAGUUUCACACUGAUACAGCACACCUCU